rnacentral:rRNA from 1 species
CAGCCGCCGCGGUAAUACGAAGGGGGCUAGCGUUGUUCGGAUUUACUGGGCGUAAAGCGCACGUAGGCGGACUUUUAAGUCAGGUGUGAAAUCCCGGGGCUCAACCCCGGAACUGCCUUUGAUACUGGAAGUCUUGAGUAUGGUAGAGGUGAGUGGAAUUCCGAGUGUAGAGGUGAAAUUCGUAGAUAUUCGGAGGAACACCAGUGGCGAAGGCGGCUCACUGGACCAUUACUGACGCUGAGGUGCGAAAGCGUGGGGAGCAAACAGGAUUAGAUACCCCCGUAGUCCCUGUCUCUUAUAA